AGCCCAAGAUAGGGCUUUCCUCCAUGAACACUGAGCUCAAAGAGAAUGAGAGAGAUGAGCGAGGCAUACGCAAUUUUUUGUAGGCUAGAGAAUCAGGUGUAACUUUCAAGUUGAUUUCUAUUAUUGUCCACCUUCCGGAAGCCCCCUCCCAUCCAGACAGUGAGGGGAGGGGAAGGAAGAAGAGCAGCCAGUGAGACUGCAGAAGACAGUGACCACCGAGGAACUGAAGGGGAAAGAGACAGCCAGGCAUGUUCUGGAAGUAAGCUGUGAAUACCAGCUGGCAAAGUGGCUACCUGAUGGGCCUGCCUCCAGAAUGUUCUAUAGCUUCCUGUGACCACAUGCCAACUAACCUAGACAACAGAGUUGUCCUUUCUCACUUUCACUGGUGGACCACACUGCAUGCCUGCAGAGUAGAAGAGGAUGAACCUCCACUUAGCAAGGCCAGGCAGGGUGUGGCUCUGCAUCUGCGAGCAGACGGGGUGAUUUUGGAUGGCCGCGAGAGCACAGAUGACCACGCCAUCGUCCGGUGUGAGUGGACACUGCUGCAGGGUGUCCCUUCAGCGGACGGGAAGUCAGGAACCCUGAAGCUGUCCCACUUAUAGGAAGAAGCAUUCACCUUUCAGCUCGCUGUGAUGGACACUGCUGGGCAGAGAAGCUGUGACAAUGUCUCGGUGACAGUGCUUCCCAUGGCCUUCUCCAUGGGAGGUGAGAAGAAAGUCCUUCCCUCACAUUCCCAAAGGGUGUUUGAGCAUGUGCUCACACUACUCCUUCUUGUGAUGAUGGCAGUUGCAUUGAUAUCACGCUGGCUUGAGAUGGAGUGGAGCAGUGUCCUGACGGGUCUGAUGAAGCUUUCUGUCAACAUUGUGAGUCAGCUGCCUCGCAUUUUCAGGCCAGGGGAUGGAAGGGAUAUCUGUGUAUCCAUAAUACAAGGUAAGCUCAAUAUUGUUUUUCUGCCUGGUUUCAGGUAUAACUUUAUGUGAACAAGCUAUGUCUGAAAUUAAAUGAGCAUUUAUCAUGAGUCUAUAGUCCCAGUGGCAAAUGUCAAAUUUUUGAUAUUGCUUACAUUUUUCAAAAAUUGCUUUCAAUUUUCCAAAAAAUUCUUCACCAUUAUAAAAAUGCUGUAUAGCAUAUGCUCUUUUAAAACCUGAAGUGAGUUAACAUUUUGUUUUGAUAAAUUUUUUAGAAAAUGUAUGACCUACUUGGGUGUGGCUCAGUCAGAGCUGUAAACCAGUCUUAUAAUGUCACGUACAGAAAAGUCAUCGCAAGGAAGAAGAAAACCUGCAGAAAGUUCCGUGAAGUUUUGGCUUGAGGAAGGAUGAAGAAUUGCAAAUCCUAGUUUUAAGUUUUGUCUUUGUCAAUUUAUGUGUGACAUUUAGAAAGUUAAUUAUUGGAAGGAGAGAGAACAGACUACCAAUUUGGAAACGAGAGAGAGAUGUUUUUUAUGGGGCUCUGACGUGUCUUAGAUGGAUAGAUUAUUAUUCCCAAAUAUCCAUGACUUUCAAUCUACUGCAAAUUUGGUGGUUUUAGUUAAAGUUCAGAAAAGAAACCCAACAACUAACAGUAGUUAUUCCAUGCAUCAGUGAGCCUUGACCGGAAGAUGGGGACCCCCACAGCAACUGCCCAACCUAGAACCACAGGACCAAGUGAAGAUGCAAGGUGGGGGCUCCUUACUGGAGAAAUCCCAGAAAGCCACUGGCCCAAACCAUCCCCCUAUGUUAUCAAACACAGAGAAGAGGAAUCAUUCUACCUUCUGGGGACCAGAGAGUCAGAUUGAUCCUGUGAUGCCAGGUAAGAACUCGAGGCAGAUUCUCCACAAAGAGCCUCAUUGCCUAUAAUGAGACACAGCUCAAAAUAACGUUUGUAUUUGAAAAGUGUUAAGGAAAAAGAAAGAAGCGAGUUAAAAUUAAGAAUUUGGACCAGAAAAAAAAAAAAACAUCUGGCAUUUGCACUGAUUAUUUAUGGUAGGGAACAUCUACUUAACAUAUUCUUACAUUCCUAUAUCUAUGCAUACAUACUCCAGAGAUACCAAUACAUUUAUUUGUACAUAUGUUAGACUUAGGAAGUUUUAACAUCUGUGUUAUGGAAACUAAUGCUCUAAGAGUUAACUUUUAGGCUAUUUUGAGAUGAAGCAGCAUACCGCCUACGUAUUCAUGUAAAUCCUCUUCACACUGAGCGAGUGAAUGUAAAGAAACUAUGACGUCAUGUUGACAUGGUCGCAUGUGCUAGUAAUUCAGUGUUAUGCCUCCAAUUUAACUAAAUCUGUAAUUGUUUUGUUUUUUUAAUAAGUCUAAAAAGAUUUUUAAAUACAUUCACACUGCAGAAACAUUACAGGAUUCUGUCAUUUUAAAUGUCUUUUUUACACAUUUAUAUUUGCAUGACUGUAUGAUAUACAUGACAGAAAUAUAGGUGAUCACAUUUCUGAA